UUGAGUCAGUGGACUGGGAGAGGCAGACCCAUCCUCAGUCUGCACCAUCUAAUCAGCUGCCAGCACGGCUAGAGUAACAGCAUGCAGAAGAACGUGGAAGGGCUUGACAUGCUGAGUCUUCUGGCCUUCAUCUUUCUCCUGUACUGGAUGCUUCCUGCCCUUGAACAUCAAACUCCAAGUUCUUCAGCUUUUGGACACUUGGAUUCACACCAGUGGUUUGCCAGGGGCUCUCAGGUCUUCAGCCACAGACUGAAGGCUGCACUGUUGGCUUCCGUACUUUUGAGGUUUUGGAACUCGGACUGGCUUCCUUGCUUCUCAGCUUGCAGAUGGCCUAUUGUGGGACUUCACCUUGUGAUCGUGACCCAGUGGCUGUCUUGAUGUCUCACAGCAGGAAGAGGCUCUCUCAAAUAGGUGUACACAUGGGGAGAGAGAGAGCAAGGAGAUCGAGAUACAAUCAGUCACCAGCAGGGGAUUUAGAGGAAGAGUGAUAAAUCAAAAGUCUUCGUCCAAGAAUUAGCUUUGCAACAUCUACAAACCUAAGCAGCUGCAGAACACAAGAAAUGUUCCCCCAAACAAGGAGAGCAGCAUCAGAUACCUACAGUUUGUAGCGUGGAGCAUCUAUAAGCAAACGGUGAAUACUACUAAGCUGGAGACUAUGCUAAGUGCUGAAAAUAAAAGAUGAAAUGCAUCAGAUCUGUUCUCAACAAGCUCACAGU